AUUAAAGUUGUUGCAGUUAAAAAGCUCGUAGUUGGACUUGUGUGCGCUGUCCGCGGGUGGCCUGCGCCCAAAAGGGCGUUUCGGUUCGGCCCCGGUGGCGCCUUGAAAUCUGCAGCUGGGGGGACGUUGGCCUUAACUGGUCGGCGACCGCACGCCGGCUGCUCGGUUACUGUGAGAAAAUUAGAGUGUUCAAGGCAGGCAUUGGGUGCAAUUGAAUACAUUAGCAUGGAAUAAUAAAAUAUGGCUCCUGCCGUAUUUUGUUGGUUUUGACUGGUGGGAGUAAUGAUUGAUAGGGACGGUUGGGGGUGCUAGUAUUGAGCGGCCAGAGGUGAAAUUCAUGGAUUCGCUCAAGACUAACUUAUGCGAAAGCAUUCACCAAGGACGUCCUCUUUAAUCAAGAACGAAAGUUGGGGGAUCGAAGACGAUCAGAUACCGUCGUAGUCUCAACCAUAAACUAUGUCGACUUGGGAUCGGCGGUAGUUUUUUCAUUAAGACACUGUCGGGACCACGGGAGAAAUCAAAGUGUCUGGACUCUGGGGGAAGUAUGGUCGCAAGGCUGAAACUUGAAGGAAUUGACGGAAGGGCACCACCAGGAGUGGAGCCUGCGGCUUAAUUUGACCCAACACGGGGAAACUUACCAGGUCCAGAGAUGUAGAGGAUUGACAGAUUGAAGCUCUUUCUUGAUCACUUCGGUGGUGGUGCAUGGCCGUUCUUAGUUGGUGGAGUGGUUUGUCUGGUUAAUUCCGUUAACGAACGAGACCUCAGCCUGCUAGUGUAGUCGGCUGGAUUGCCUUUGGCGAUCCGUGAUUUCGACUUCUUAGAGGGACAAUCGACGCGCAGUCGAUGGAAGUUUGAGGCAAUAACAGGUCUGUGAUGCCCUUAGAUGUUCUGGGCCGCACGCGCGCUACACUGCUGGGCUCAGCGAGUUUUACUUGGCCGAGAGGCCCGGUUAAUCUUGUGAAAUCCCAGCGUGCUUGGGCUCGCCUCCUGCAACUGGAGGCGCCAACGAGGAAUUCCUAGUAGACGCAGGUCAUCAACCUGCAUCGAUUACGUCCCUGCCCUUUGUACACACCGCCCGUCGUUCCAUAAGAGUGAGGCAUCCGGUGAAUUCUCGGGAGAGCCUGGGCGUGGCCAGCAAUGGUCUGCUCGGGUUUGAACUUGCAUAAACUUGGUGCCUAUGAUUAGGG
rnacentral:rRNA from 1 species